rnacentral:rRNA from 1 species
UACGGAGGGUGCAAGCGUUAUCCGGAUUCACUGGGUUUAAAGGGUGCGUAGGUGGGUUUGUAAGUCAGUGGUGAAAUCUCCGUGCUUAACAUGGAAACUGCCAUUGAUACUAUCAUUCUUGAAUAUUGUGGAGGUCAGCGGAAUAUGUCAUGUAGCGGUGAAAUGCUUAGAUAUGACAUAGAACACCAAUUGCGAAGGCAGCUCACUACACGAGCAUUGACUCUGAGGCACGAAAGCGUGGGGAUCAAACAGG